AAAUUGAAGAGUUUGAUCAUGGCUCAGAUUGAACGCUGGCGGCAGGCCUAACACAUGCAAGUCGAACGGUAACAGGAAGCAGCUUGCUGCUUCGCUGACGAGUGGCGGACGGGUGAGUAAUGUCUGGGAAACUGCCUGAUGGAGGGGGAUAACUACUGGAAACGGUGGCUAAUACCGCAUAACGUCGCAAGACCAAAGAGGGGGACCUUCGGGCCUCUUGCCAUCAGAUGUGCCCAGAUGGGAUUAGCUUGUUGGUGAGGUAACGGCUCACCAAGGCGACGAUCCCUAGCUGGUCUGAGAGGAUGACCAGCCACACUGGAACUGAGACACGGUCCAGACUCCUACGGGAGGCAGCAGUGGGGAAUAUUGCACAAUGGGCGCAAGCCUGAUGCAGCCAUGCCGCGUGUAUGAAGAAGGCCUUCGGGUUGUAAAGUACUUUCAGCGGGGAGGAAGGUGUUGUGGUUAAUAACCGCAGCAAUUGACGUUACCCGCAGAAGAAGCACCGGCUAACUCCGUGCCAGCAGCCGCGGUAAUACGGAGGGUGCAAGCGUUAAUCGGAAUUACUGGGCGUAAAGCGCACGCAGGCGGUCUGUCAAGUCGGAUGUGAAAUCCCCGGGCUCAACCUGGGAACUGCAUUCGAAACUGGCAGGCUUGAGUCUUGUAGAGGGGGGUAGAAUUCCAGGUGUAGCGGUGAAAUGCGUAGAGAUCUGGAGGAAUACCGGUGGCGAAGGCGGCCCCCUGGACAAAGACUGACGCUCAGGUGCGAAAGCGUGGGGAGCAAACAGGAUUAGAUACCCUGGUAGUCCACGCCGUAAACGAUGUCUACUUGGAGGUUGUGCCCUUGAGGCGUGGCUUCCGGAGCUAACGCGUUAAGUAGACCGCCUGGGGAGUACGGCCGCAAGGUUAAAACUCAAAUGAAUUGACGGGGGCCCGCACAAGCGGUGGAGCAUGUGGUUUAAUUCGAUGCAACGCGAAGAACCUUACCUGGUCUUGACAUCCACAGAACUUUCCAGAGAUGGACUGGUGCCUUCGGGAACUGUGAGACAGGUGCUGCAUGGCUGUCGUCAGCUCGUGUUGUGAAAUGUUGGGUUAAGUCCCGCAACGAGCGCAACCCUUAUCCUUUGUUGCCAGCGGUUAGGCCGGGAACUCAAAGGAGACUGCCAGUGAUAAACUGGAGGAAGGUGGGGAUGACGUCAAGUCAUCAUGGCCCUUACGACCAGGGCUACACACGUGCUACAAUGGCGCAUACAAAGAGAAGCGACCUCGCGAGAGCAAGCGGACCUCAUAAAGUGCGUCGUAGUCCGGAUUGGAGUCUGCAACUCGACUCCAUGAAGUCGGAAUCGCUAGUAAUCGUGGAUCAGAAUGCCACGGUGAAUACGUUCCCGGGCCUUGUACACACCGCCCGUCACACCAUGGGAGUGGGUUGCAAAAGAAGUAGGUAGCUUAACCUUCGGGAGGGCGCUUACCACUUUGUGAUUCAUGACUGGGGUGAAGUCGUAACAAGGUAACCGUAGGGGAACCUGCGGUUGGAUCACCUCCUUACCUGAAAGAAGC
rnacentral:rRNA from 1 species